rnacentral:tRNA from 2 species
GGUCCUGGGGUGUUAGCACGUGUGGUUGCAAACCACGAGAUGCAGGGUAAUUCCUGCCGGGGCUU